rnacentral:rRNA from 1 species
CAGGCUUAACACAUGCAAGUCGAGGGGCAGCAUGGUCUUAGCUUGCUAAGGCCGAUGGCGACCGGCGCACGGGUGAGUAACACGUAUCCAACCUGCCGUCUACUCUUGGACAGCCUUCUGAAAGGAAGAUUAAUACAAGAUGGCAUCAUGAGUCCGCAUGUUCACAUGAUUAAAGGUAUUCCGGUAGACGAUGGGGAUGCGUUCCAUUAGAUAGUAGGCGGGGUAACGGCCCACCUAGUCUUCGAUGGAUAGGGGUUCUGAGAGGAAGGUCCCCCACAUUGGAACUGAGACACGGUCCAAACUCCUACGGGAGGCAGCAGUGAGGAAUAUUGGUCAAUGGGCGAGAGCCUGAACCAGCCAAGUAGCGUGAAGGAUGACUGCCCUAUGGGUUGUAAACUUCUUUUAUAAAGGAAUAAAGUCGGGUAUGGAUACCCGUUUGCAUGUACUUUAUGAAUAAGGAUCGGCUAACUCCGUGCCAGCAGCCGCGGUAAUACGGAGGAUCCGAGCGUUAUCCGGAUUUAUUGGGUUUAAAGGGAGCGUAGAUGGAUGUUUAAGUCAGUUGUGAAAGUUUGCGGCUCAACCGUAAAAUUGCAGUUGAUACUGGAUAUCUUGAGUGCAGUUGAGGCAGGCGGAAUUCGUGGUGUAGCGGUGAAAUGCUUAGAUAUCACGAAGAACUCCAAUUGCGAAGGCAGCCUGCUAAGCUGCAACUGACAUUGAGGCUCGAAAGUGUGGGUAUCAAACAGGAUUAGAUACCCUGGUAGUCCACACGGUAAACGAUGAAUACUCGCUGUUUGCGAUAUACUGCAAGCGGCCAAGCGAAAGCGUUAAGUAUUCCACCUGGGGAGUACGCCGGCAACGGUGAAACUCAAAGGAAUUGACGGGGGCCCGCACAAGCGGAGGAACAUGUGGUUUAAUUCGAUGAUACGCGAGGAACCUUACCCGGGCUUAAAUUGCAGAUGAAUUACGGUGAAAGCCGUAAGCCGCAAGGCAUCUGUGAAGGUGCUGCAUGGUUGUCGUCAGCUCGUGCCGUGAGGUGUCGGCUUAAGUGCCAUAACGAGCGCAACCCUUGUUGUCAGUUACUAACAGGUUCCGCUGAGGACUCUGACAAGACUGCCAUCGUAAGAUGUGAGGAAGGUGGGGAUGACGUCAAAUCAGCACGGCCCUUACGUCCGGGGCUACACACGUGUUACAAUGGGGGGUACAGAGGGCCGCUACCACGCGAGUGGAUGCCAAUCCCAAAAACCUCUCUCAGUUCGGACUGGAGUCUGCAACCCGACUCCACGAAGCUGGAUUCGCUAGUAAUCGCGCAUCAGCCACGGCGCGGUGAAUACGUUCCCGGGCCUUGUACACACCGCCCGUCAAGCCAUGGGAGCCGGGGGUACCUGAAGUGCGUAACCGCGAGGAGCGCCCUAGGGUAAAACUGGUGACUGGGGCUAAG